UGGAAAUCAUUCCCUUUCCUCCCAUACCCAUUACUGAUACGUAAACAUGCCCUAAAUGAGAUGUCAAAUUAACCUGGUCGUACGACCAUUUUGACAUCUCAGGUCCUAGCUAUUGGCUCACCUUGACAAUUACUAGUUUCUGUCUUUAUUACUCUUUAGAGAGAGAGAGAAGCCAACAAGGAAGUGCAGUGCAGUGUACUCUUCUGUUUAUAAAAUACAGAAGAGUUUUGCCCUUAUUUUAUUUUUUGCAUCGAUAACUUGUUUCUCUCUUGGAAACAUCUCAAAAACAUCAAUAAAAUGUCUGAUUCUUUGCUGG
rnacentral:lncRNA from 1 species